GUUGUGACGUCACUGAUGCCAAGCUGUAUCGGCCCCUUUGCCUUUCCCUUGGAUAACACUUGUGGCGUGGAGAGUGGAGAUGAUGGGGUAUGCAUGGGCGAUUGCUGAUCUUCCAUAAACAACUUUGUCGAGACUUGUGCCUUGAAGGGGAACUUUCUUGGUACAAUCCCAAAGUCAUUUGUGACCAAAACGGGUCCUCUCUUUAUAUAUAUAUAUA